AGAGUUUGAUCAUGGCUCAGAACGAACGCUGGCGGCAGGCUUAACACAUGCAAGUCGAGCGCCCCGCAAGGGGAGCGGCAGACGGGUGAGUAACGCGUGGGAACCUACCUUUCGGAUCGGAAUAACUCGGGGAAACUCGAGCUAACACCGGAUACGCCCUACGGGGGAAUGAUUUAUCGCCGAAAGAUGGGCCCGCGUUGGAUUAGCUAGUUGGUGAGGUAAUGGCUCACCAAGGCGACGAUCCAUAGCUGGUCUUAGAGGAUGAUCAGCCACACUGGGACUGAGACACGGCCCAGACUCCUACGGGAGGCAGCAGUGGGGAAUAUUGGACAAUGGGGGAAACCCUGAUCCAGCCAUGCCGCGUGAGUGAUGAAGGCCUUAGGGUUGUAAAGCUCUUUCGCCCGGGAAGAUAAUGACUGUACCGGGUAAAGAAGCCCCGGCUAACUUCGUGCCAGCAGCCGCGGUAAUAC
rnacentral:rRNA from 1 species